UAGGGAAUUUUCGGCAAUGGGCGGAAGCCUGACCGAGCAAUGCCGCGUGAGUGAAGAAGGCCUUCGGGUUGUAAAGCUCUGUUGUAAAGGAAGAACGGUAAAGAUAGGGAAUGAUCUUUAAGUGACGGUACUUUACGAGGAAGUCACGGCUAACUACGUGCCAGCAGCCGCGGUAAUACGUAGGUGGCGAGCGUUAUCCGGAAUUAUUGGGCGUAAAGGGUGCGCAGGCGGUAAUAGAAGCUUAAGGUGAAAGCGUGGGGCUCAACUCCAUAAAGCCUUAGGAACUGGAUUACUAGAGUGCAGGAGAGGGCGAUGGAAUUCCAUGUGUAGCGGUAAAAUGCGUAGAGAUAUGGAGGAACACCAGUGGCGAAGGCGGUCGCCUGGCCUGUAACUGACGCUGAGGCACGAAAGCGUGGGGAGCAAAUAGG
rnacentral:rRNA from 1 species